rnacentral:rRNA from 1 species
UACAGAGGUCUCAAGCGUUGUUCGGAUUCAUUGGGCGUAAAGGGUGCGUAGGUGGUGAUGCAAGUCUGGUGUGAAAUCUCGGAGCUCAACUCCGAAAUUGCACCGGAUACUGCGUGACUCGAGGACUGUAGAGGAGAUCGGAAUUCACGGUGUAGCAGUGAAAUGCGUAGAUAUCGUGAGGAAGACCAGUUGCGAAGGCGGAUCUCUGGGCAGUUCCUGACACUGAGGCACGAAAGCUAGGGGAGCAAACAGG